rnacentral:lncRNA from 1 species
GGAAAACAAGCCCAGAAGGCGGCGGACACUCGCAUAAAGUCACGCAGUAGUACUCGGAGCCCGGGGUAGAACCUGGACUUCAAAUCUCUGCACUCCCGGCCGGGUGGUGGGCGCAUAUCCUGGGUAGCCUCUAGGAAGCGCUAGACACAUAUUCCUAUCAGGCGAAGGCCGCCUUUCCUGGCCUCCCCCACAGGCCCGCCAGCGAUUCGUCCUUACAAGGCUAGCCUCCACGGGCUGCCCUCUGUGUAAAUAAAGCCACAGACUUCCGCCCACAGGUCGCCGCAGGUCCCGCCCGCAGCGCCGGGCCGCGGGGGAGGCGGGAACUGGUGCUACGGCCGCUACGCAGGCCUCGGGAGGCUCGGAGCCCGCCACGCCCCAGCCCUCUCGCAGGGCCGGGGAGCCACGGGGCCAAAAGGAGGAGCAGGUGGAAGAAAUCCAGGCUCAGACCGUCGGAGUCCCCACCCAUGAGCACCCUUCUCCACUGAUCACUCAGAACAUGGUAGGCCCUAGAGAGACAGCAGCCCGAAUCUUCCCAGAAACCCUGCAGGAGAUUCCUUCUUCCCAUUUUAUAGAAGGGAGGCUGAGGCUCGGCACGUUGAAAUGGCUUGACCAAGGUCCCACAGGCAAAAAAAUGGUACAGCAAGAUAUUGUAACCCAAUAUCUGGCUGCAAAACCCAGUCUCUCCCCAACCCACCUAUCGUCACCGAGAUUGUAAAACUUCUAACCGGGAAGAAUCAAAUACAUGCACAACGGGUUACAGGUUAACAGACAGAUGGGA